rnacentral:rRNA from 1 species
GCUUAACACAUGCAAGUCGAGGGGCAGCAUCAUCAAAGCUUGCUUUGAUGGAUGGCGACCGGCGCACGGGUGAGUAACACGUAUCCAACCUGCCGACAACACUGGGAUAGCCUUUCGAAAGAAAGAUUAAUACCGGAUGGUAUAGUUUUCCCGCAUGGGAUAAUUAUUAAAGAAUUUCGGUUGUCGAUGGGGAUGCGUUCCAUUAGGCAGUUGGCGGGGUAACGGCCCACCAAACCUACGAUGGAUAGGGGUUCUGAGAGGAAGGUCCCCCACAUUGGAACUGAGACACGGUCCAAACUCCUACGGGAGGCAGCAGUGAGGAAUAUUGGUCAAUGGACGAGAGUCUGAACCAGCCAAGUAGCGUGAAGGAUGACUGCCCUAUGGGUUGUAAACUUCUUUUAUACGGGAAUAAAGUUAGCCACGUGUGGUUUUUUUGUAUGUACCGUAUGAAUAAGGAUCGGCUAACUCCGUGCCAGCAGCCGCGGUAAUACGGAGGAUCCGAGCGUUAUCCGGAUUUAUUGGGUUUAAAGGGAGCGUAGGCGGGUUGUUAAGUCAGUUGUGAAAGUUUGCGGCUCAACCGUAAAAUUGCAGUUGAUACUGGCGACCUUGAGUGCAACAGAGGUAGGCGGAAUUCGUGGUGUAGCGGUGAAAUGCUUAGAUAUCACGAAGAACUCCGAUUGCGAAGGCAGCUUACUGGAUUGUAACUGACGCUGAUGCUCGAAAGUGUGGGUAUCAAACAGGAUUAGAUACCCUGGUAGUCCACACAGUAAACGAUGAAUACUCGCUGUUGGCGAUAUACAGUCAGCGGCCAAGCGAAAGCAUUAAGUAUUCCACCUGGGGAGUACGCCGGCAACGGUGAAACUCAAAGGAAUUGACGGGGGCCCGCACAAGCGGAGGAACAUGUGGUUUAAUUCGAUGAUACGCGAGGAACCUUACCCGGGCUUAAAUUGCAACUGACGGAACCGGAAACGGUUCUUUCUUCGGACAGUUGUGAAGGUGCUGCAUGGUUGUCGUCAGCUCGUGCCGUGAGGUGUCGGCUUAAGUGCCAUAACGAGCGCAACCCUUACGGGUAGUUACCAUCAGGUUAUGCUGGGGACUCUACCCGGACUGCCGUCGUAAGAUGUGAGGAAGGUGGGGAUGACGUCAAAUCAGCACGGCCCUUACGUCCGGGGCUACACACGUGUUACAAUGGGGGGUACAGAAGGCAGCUACACGGCGACGUGGUGCUAAUCCCAAAAGCCUCUCUCAGUUCGGAUUGGAGUCUGCAACCCGACUCCAUGAAGCUGGAUUCGCUAGUAAUCGCGCAUCAGCCACGGCGCGGUGAAUACGUUCCCGGGCCUUGUACACACCGCCCGUCAAGCCAUGAAAGCCGGGGGUACCUGAAGUACGUAACCAAGAGGAGCGUCCUAGGGUAAAACUGGUGAUUGGGGCUA